rnacentral:rRNA from 2 species
UUGGAUCCAGACUUUGAUUAUGGCUCAGGAUGAACGCUAGCUACAGGCUUAACACAUGCAAGUCGAGGGGAAACGAUAGAGAAAGCUUGCUUUUUCUAGGCGUCGACCGGCGCACGGGUGAGUAACGCGUAUCCAACCUGCCCAUCACUUGGGGAUAACCUUGCGAAAGUAAGACUAAUACCCAAUGAUAUCUCUAGAAGACAUCUGAAGGAGAUUAAAGAUUUAUCGGUGAUGGAUGGGGAUGCGUCUGAUUAGCUUGUUGGCGGGGUAACGGCCCACCAAGGCGACGAUCAGUAGGGGUUCUGAGAGGAAGGUCCCCCACAUUGGAACUGAGACACGGUCCAAACUCCUACGGGAGGCAGCAGUGAGGAAUAUUGGUCAAUGGGCGAGAGCCUGAACCAGCCAAGUAGCGUGCAGGAUGACGGCCCUAUGGGUUGUAAACUGCUUUUAUAAGGGAAUAAAGUGAGCCUCGUGAGGCUUUUUGCAUGUACCUUAUGAAUAAGGACCGGCUAAUUCCGUGCCAGCAGCCGCGGUAAUACGGAAGGUCCGGGCGUUAUCCGGAUUUAUUGGGUUUAAAGGGAGCGUAGGCCGGAGAUUAAGCGUGUUGUGAAAUGUAGAUGCUCAACGUCUGCACUGCAGCGCGAACUGGUUUCCUUGAGUACGCACAGAGUGGGCGGAAUUCGUGGUGUAGCGGUGAAAUGCUUAGAUAUCACGAAGAACUCCGAUUGCGAAGGCAGCUCACUGGAGCGCAACUGACGCUGAAGCUCGAAAGUGCGGGUAUCGAACAGGAUUAGAUACCCUGGUAGUCCGCACGGUAAACGAUGGAUGCCCGCUGUUGGUCUGAAUAGGUCAGCGGCCAAGCGAAAGCAUUAAGCAUCCCACCUGGGGAGUACGCCGGCAACGGUGCAACUCAAAUGAAUUGACGGA